rnacentral:rRNA from 1 species
AUGAACGCUGGCGGCGUGCCUAAUACAUGCAGGUCGAGCGAACGGACGAGAAGCUUGCUUCUCUGAUGUUAGCGGCGGACGGGUGAGUAACACGUGGAUAACCUACCUAUAAGACUGGGAUAACUUCGGGAAACCGGAGCUAAUACCGGAUAAUAUUUUGAACCGCAUGGUUCAAAAGUGAAAGACGGUCUUGCUGUCACUUAUAGAUGGAUCCGCGCUGCAUUAGCUAGUUGGUAAGGUAACGGCUUACCAAGGCAACGAUGCAUAGCCGACCUGAGAGGGUGAUCGGCCACACUGGAACUGAUACACGGUCCAGACUCCUACGGGAGGCAGCAGUAGGGAAUCUUCCGCAAUGGGCGAAAGCCUGACGGAGCAACGCCGCGUGAGUGAUGAAGGUCUUCGGAUCGUAAAACUCUGUUAUUAGGGAAGAACAUAUGUGUAAGUAACUGUGCACAUCUUGACGGUACCUAAUCAGAAAGCCACGGCUAACUACGUG